rnacentral:tRNA from 1 species
AUCCCUGUAGCGCAAUGCAUACCGCGUUGGAUUUAUGAUCCAAAGGUUGUGGGUUCGAAUCCCACCUGGGAUG